GAUGAACGCUGGCGGCGUGCCUAAUACAUGCAAGUCGAACGCAUAGCGAAAGGUGCUUGCACCUUUCAAGUGAGUGGCGAACGGGUGAGUAACACGUGGACAACCUGCCUCAAGGCUGGGGAUAACAUUUGGAAACAGACGCUAAUACCGAAUAAAACUUAGUGUCGCAUGACACAAAGUUAAAAGGCGCUUCGGCGUCACCUAGAGAUGGAUCCGCGGUGCAUUAGUUAGUUGGUGGGGUAAAGGCCUACCAAGACAAUGAUGCAUAGCCGAGUUGAGAGACUGAUCGGCCACAUUGGGACUGAGACACGGCCCAAACUCCUACGGGAGGCUGCAGUAGGGAAUCUUCCACAAUGGGCGAAAGCCUGAUGGAGCAACGCCGCGUGUGUGAUGAAGGCUUUCGGGUCGUAAAGCACUGUUGUAUGGGAAGAACAGCUAGAAUAGGAAAUGAUUUUAGUUUGACGGUACCAUACCAGAAAGGGACGGCUAAAUACGUG
rnacentral:rRNA from 1 species